CCGUCGGAGAGCUUGCUCGAAGACGGUGAGAGUGGCGCACGGGUGCGUAACGCGUGAGCAACCUACCUCUAUCAGGGGGAUAGCCUCUCGAAAGAGAGAUUAACACCGCAUAACAUAUCUGACCGGCAUCGGUUAGCUAUUAAAUAUUUAUAGGAUAGAGAUGGGCUCGCGUGACAUUAGCUAGUUGGUAGGGUAACGGCUUACCAAGGCGACGAUGUCUAGGGGCUCUGAGAGGAGAAUCCCCCACACUGGUACUGAGACACGGACCAGACUCCUACGGGAGGCAGCAGUAAGGAAUAUUGGUCAAUGGGCGGAAGCCUGAACCAGCCAUGCCGCGUGCAGGAUGACUGCCCUAUGGGUUGUAAACUGCUUUUGUCCAGGAAUAAACCUUUCUACGUGUAGGUAGCUGAAUGUACUGGAAGAAUAAGGAUCGGCUAACUCCGUGCCAGCAGCCGCGGUAAUACGGAGGAUCCGAGCGUUAUCCGGAUUUAUUGGGUUUAAAGGGUGCGUAGGCGGCCUAUUAAGUCAGGGGUGAAAUACGGUGGCUCAACCAUCGCAGUGCCUUUGAUACUGAUGGGCUUGAAUCCAUUUGAAGUGGGCGGAAUAAGACAAGUAGCGGUGAAAUGCAUAGAUAUGUCUUAGAACUCCGAUUGCGAAGGCAGCUCACUAAGCUGGUAUUGACGCUGAUGCACGAAAGCGUGGGGAUCGAAACAGGAU
rnacentral:rRNA from 1 species